AACAGCGCUCACUGUGGCAGUGUUAUCAUGUUUCAUUACAAUAAUUAAGAUUCAGAUUCUACUGUGUAAAUAAUUUGAGUCGUCAACUAUUUCAUGUGUGCAGACAAACACCACCAUAAACCUAUUUUCUAAUAACAAACCAAAUGUACAGAAGAGCUGCAUUAAUGUAAACACUUACCUCAUCUAACAGUCUUCACACAUUUAACUUCCUCUUUUCUAUUAUUGAUAAAGAUAUUUUCCACUGUUAAACAAUCCUUUAAAGGGAAAACAGGGGAGUUUGCAAAAUAGAUUAAAUAUAAAAGUUAUUAAAUGUGAAAAAGGAUUUAGCAAAAUUUAUAUCUACAUUAAGACAGAGGGGCAGAUACAGAUGUCUAAAAGCUGAAUGAACUGAAAUAAUUCAGCAAGAGCAGAGAAAAGGAGUGAUGUCACUAUGAGGAAGUGAGCAGGAAGUUGAUGCUGUAUUCAUCUCUGAGACUGUCUCAUUUGUGAACGUGAGAGCAAGAACAGAGACUGAGAGAGACAGAGAAGCACGAUGGCUGCAUUCACAUGGAUUCAAAUGUCUUCAUUACUGAUACUGAUGCUUCAGUUUAAAGGAACAACUGAGCAACAUCAAACUGUCACAGCUGGACGUGGACAUGAUGUUACUCUGCCUUGUAAAAAUGUGAUACAAGGUCAGCAUAACUGUAUCAGUACUGUCUGGAUCUUCAGUGAUUCAAGCAGCUCAGUAUCAAUCUUUGAAUUUGGGCAGAAUAAAGAAGCCAAACCUAAAUCAGACAGACUGAGUGUUUCUGCAGACUGUUCUCUGGUUAUAAAGAAGGUCACAGAUCAGGAUGUUGGUCGUUACACCUGCAGACAGUUCAAAACAGCAACAGGAUCACAAGAAGGUCCAGACUUUAUGAUUGAUCUGUCUGUUAUUAACAAUGUGAAAACGACUAAAUCAACAACAGUGACGUCCACCACAAAAACCUCAUCAACAACAAAAUCCACAACAUCAACAAUUAAACCAACUGUGAAAAUAACAAACAUAUGGACAACAAGAGCAGAAGUAAAAACAUCAGGAGUUUGGUCAGGUUUUAUCAUCGUUUCUGUGAGUUUAGUAACACUCUUAAUAAUUGUUGUGCUGAUCAUCAGAUGGAAGAAAAUUAAAGAAAACAAAACACAAUGUGGCAACAACACGGGACUGAGCUUAAACCCUGCAGAUACUCAGUCUGGUCCAGGAUCCAGUCAGGACACGGCUGAUGCUGAUGAUGGUGUUUCCUACGUCUCCAUCAGCUUCACCAAGAAGUCCAAGAAUAAAUCCAGGGUAAGAAUUUGAUAUUCAUACAGAUGGUGUUAGUAAUAACAUCACGAUUUUCAAAACUCCUGUCAGGUUAUGUCUUUAAGACGUUUUUGUAUUAUUUUCUUAAAGUCCUGUGGUGAUGAUGAUGAAAGUGACACUGUGACCUACAGCACUGUGAAAGCUUCCUCUUCACCUGCUGGAGUUUCCACUGAUCCCAACAACCUCUACUCCGCCAUCAAUUACCCAAGGAAAUAGGAUGUUAGUCAUGCUAAGUUUUUUAGAUAGAUAGAUAGAUAGAUAGAUAGAUAGAUAGAUAGAUAGAUAGAUAGAUAGAUAGAUAGAUAGAUAGAUAGAUAGAUAGAUGAUAGAUAGAUAGAUAGAUAGAUAGAUAGAUAGAUAGAUAGAUAGAUAGAUAUUUUUCAGUUCACUUAUUAGUUUUGGUAACUCGAGUCAAACAUUAAGUCUGAUUAUGUUUACUUGAGAAUACAAAGACUGCAGGAUUACUUUUUCAUACCACUGCAUGUGCUCAUAGAUUCAGUGGGUUACUUUGAACAAGGUGAACAUUAUUACAUUGAAUGUUAUUAUAUUAAUAUUCACCUUAAGGUUUCUUAAAUCGAUUUAGGUCAUUUUUUAAUUUUUUUUAAGUAGAAUAUAAAAACUAGUAAACAAAAAACUAAACCAACACAAAACACAACGUUACAAAUAGUGUACUAAUGAAAAUAACAUGUCUGUUUGCACAUGCCUAGUUUGUGGGAUUAAUUUCAAUGUUAACCAGAAUCCUUAAAUAGUAGUUACUGUUUCAGGGCUCUGAUGAUGAUUUCUUACUAUGCUGUGCUGACCUGCUUUCCACCUUCAUGGUACAGUAAGCAGAAUCUGAGCUUUUGAAUGCAUGCUAAACCUUUUAUUAUAAAUAUACCAACACUGCAGCAGUGCUUUCAAUGAUAUCCUGUGAUUAUAUGAGUCAAUACAGUGACAUAAGUGUAUGGGUAAAAGUACACUUUGGUCUAUGCACAGACAAAGUAUGUGAUGGAACAGCAUGGUUAGCAGGUGACACAGCAAAUGUUCAGACUCACAUAUGACACUGUUAGAUAAAUGAAAAUAUUCUGCACGUUCAUAUAAAUGAAUUAAUGAAACACUGCACUAAUAUUAACAUUAUAAACGAUCACAAUAGUGAUCUCCCUAUGACUGUUAAAUUCUGGAGCAAUUAGCACUAAAAACAGAACUGUGUAAAUGUUAGACUUUUCAUUAGGCUGACAUGUAGUAGUAAUUACAAAGUGUGAAGUAUAAGUAAACUGUUUUCUUUUCCAGUUUCAUUAGGAAAUUUAUGAUUACUCACUGUUUGCACACCAAACUUUAUGGUUCUUUCCCCCCAGUUUCUUAAAUUCUUAAGGACAAUGAAUUCAAGAAAAACAACAGCAAACAGACAUUUGUCACCAGCUGUCUUCAUGAGAAGUUCACAUAAAGAAGAAGUGCAUGAUAUGUAUGUGGUCAGCAUUAGAGGGUUAAACCUCCACAGCUCUGCAUAUCCUCACCAAACCACUUCCCCUUCAGAAACAAUACAUACAAAAAAAGAGACAGGAAAGAAAAGGUUCAAUGGGACCACCAAUAAAUUUUAAUGGGUUUUGUUGGUUGUUUUUGUGCGUUACUCUUUUCUGGCAUCGUUGUAUUAUACUCAAUUGUAUAUAGCAUUUCUAUUCUAUUUUAUUCUAUUGUAUGUAGUAUUUUAUUUUAUUCUAUUCUAUUAUGUACAGUUCUGCACAGUAUCUUAUUGAUAUCUUAUUCCAGUGGUUUUUUUUCUUCUAAUUUUUCUAUGUAACUUUGCACUGUCCACUGCUGUAACUAAACAAAUUUCCCACACAUGGGACUAAUAAAGGUUAUCUUAUCUUAUCUUAUCUUAUCUUAUCUUAUCUUAUCUUAUCUUAUCUUUUUCCUAAAUGUUAGCACUGGUGACAUGUGCUGCACAUUCCCUAUUUUAUCUUUUAUGAUGGAAAAUAUCUGCUCUAUCUCAGUUAUUGAGCUGGGAGAGGACAUCAGUGACAGUAACUGAUGUUUUAUUACAUAGUAUGUUUUUUUUUAUUUCAUUUUUUGCAGUCUGUCUGACACCUCAGAGCCCAGUAUCAGCUAGCAUUUAAUGUUCUCUCCAGUUAUCCUUCCUGUUCUUUCAUCUUCAAUUUUAAAUAUUUAAUUAAUGUUUGAACAGUUUUGUUUGACCCUUUUCUUAAAUAAUGCAUGAAUGGCUCUCCUUACAUUUCAGCUGUUAUAUGAUUGCAAAUUAUACUCAGACAGCAUUAAAAGAUAAAAUGCUAGUCUGAGUAUAAUUUAAGAUAACAAGAUAAAAUGAUCUAAUAUAUGUUUAGAAUUGUGUGAAACCUCAACAUAGUAUAUUCUCACACUCAUCGAUGUGUUAACCAUUUAUCUGUCAGAGGUUCAUCUGGUCAUCAUGAAACCUCCAGAGCUCUGCUGCUGUUGGACCCACAUUUUCACCAAAACACUUCCUCUUCACUUCUCAGAAAACAACAACAACAAAAAAUAAAAGACUUUAGAGGUACAACGAGGAACCAACAGGUCUCAAAUCACCAACACAUCUCAUUUA
ensembl:lncRNA